CAGUCGCCGCGGGAAUACGGAGGGAGCUAGCGUUAUUCGGAAUUACUGGGCGUAAAGCGCACGUAGGCGGCUUUGUAAGUUAGAGGUGAAAGCCUGGAGCUCAACUCCAGAAUUGCCUUUAAGACUGCAUCGCUUGAAUCCAGGAGAGGUGAGUGAAAUUCCGAGUGUAGAGGUGAAAUUCGUAGAUAUUCGGAAGAACACCAGUGGCGAAGGCGGCUCACUGGACUGGUAUUGACGCUGAGGUGCGAAAGCGUGGGGAGCAAACAGGAUUAGAUACCCGUGUAGUCCCUGUCUCUUAUAC
rnacentral:rRNA from 1 species